rnacentral:rRNA from 1 species
UACAGAGGUGGCAAGCGUUGUUCGGAAUUACUGGGCGUAAAGGGCGCGUAGGCGGCCUUCUAAGUCAGACGUGAAAUCCCCCGGCUUAACCUGGGAACUGCGUCUGAUACUGGAGGGCUUGAGUGCGGGAGAGGGAUGUGGAAUUCCAGGUGUAGCGGUGAAAUGCGUAGAUAUCGGGAGGAACACCAAUGGCGAAGGCAGCUCGCUGGGACGGUACUGACGCUGAGGCGCGAAAGCGUGGGGAGCAAACAGGG